UACGGAGGGUGCAAGCGUUGUUCGGAAUCAUUGGGCGUAAAGCGCGUGUAGGCGGUCGUUUAAGUCUGGUGUGAAAGCCCGGGGCCUAACCCCGGAAGUGCACUGGAUACUGAACGGCUAGAGGGCGAGAGAGGAAAGUGGAAUUCAUGGUGUAGGGGUGAAAUCCGUAGAUAUCAUGAGGAACAUCUGUGGCGAAGGCGGCUUUCUGGCUCGCUUCUGACGCUGAAACGCGAAAGCGUGGGGAGCAAACAGG
rnacentral:rRNA from 1 species